GACGAACGCUGGCGGCGUGCUUAACACAUGCAAGUCGAACGGAAAGGCCCUGCUUUUGUGGGGUGCUCGAGUGGCGAACGGGUGAGUAACACGUGAGUAACCUGCCCUUGACUUUGGGAUAACUUCAGGAAACUGGGGCUAAUACCGGAUAGGAGCUCCUGCUGCAUGGUGGGGGUUGGAAAGUUUCGGCGGUUGGGGAUGGACUCGCGGCUUAUCAGCUUGUUGGUGGGGUAGUGGCUUACCAAGGCUUUGACGGGUAGCCGGCCUGAGAGGGUGACCGGCCACAUUGGGACUGAGAUACGGCCCAGACUCCUACGGGAGGCAACAGUGGGGAAUAUUGCACAAUGGGCGGAAGCCUGAUGCAGCAACGCCGCGUGCGGGAUGACGGCCUUCGGGUGGUAAACCGCUUUCGCCUGUGACGAAGCGUGAGUGACGGUAAUGGGGAAAGAAGCACCGGCUAACUACGU
rnacentral:rRNA from 1 species